CCUACGGGAGGCAGCAGUGAGGAAUAUUGGUCAAUGGACGCAAGCCUGAACCAGCCAUGUCGCGUGCAGGAAGACGGCCCUAUGAGUUGUAAACUGCUUUUGUACGAGGGUAAACGCAGAUACGCGUAUCUGUCUGAAAGUAUCGUACGAAUAAGGAUCGGCUAACUCCGUGCCAGCAGCCGCGGUAAUACGGAGGAUUCAAGCGUUUUCCGGAUUUAUUGGGGUUAAAGGGUGCGUAGGCGGUCUGUUAAGUUAGAGGUGAAAUCCCGAGGCUCAACUUCGGAAUUGCCGUUGAUACUGGUCGGCUAGAGAGUAGUAGCGGUAGGCGGAAUGUAUGGUGUAGCGGUGAAAUGCUUAGAGAUCAUACAGAACACCGAUUGCGAAGGCAGCUUACCGGGCUACAUCUGACGUUGAGGCACGAAAGCGUGGGGAGCAAACAGGAUUAGAUACCCCAGUAGUC
rnacentral:rRNA from 1 species